CUUCCGGAUCCGCUCCCAGCACCUGGCUGCUCACCGGCGCCGCUUGGCUCUGUGGCUCGGCCUCGGCCUGGCUCACGUGGGAGCCUGCCUCCGCGUCGGUGUCCUCCGACCCCUGCAGUUGGUGAUCGUGGCUGCCAGCGGACUCCUCGUCGUGGCUCGGCGCGCGGCCGUCGUCGUGCUCGACGACCAUCGGCUCAGGUUCCAGCUCCUCCGGCUCCUGGUGUUGCCUCGAAGGAGAGCUGGGCGAGGCGCGCUUGUUGUUGUUGACCUUGCCCUUGUGGUGGGGCUUGGAGCAAGUGGAGGAGGCGGCGGCGCGCUUGAACCGCGUGCGCCCGCCGCGGGCGACGUGGAGAUCGGCCGCCGCGGCUGCGUCGGGGUCCUUAGCGACGUGGCGGAUGUCGUAGGCAGCAGCGCCCGGCGCCCUGGCGCCGAGCAACGGCGGGGCCGCGGCGGCUUCUGACGCGGCGUCGACCUGCACGACGGGGUCCCCCUUGAGCACGGCCUCGACGGCGGCCUGGCACGCCUGCCACUGGCCAGACCAGAGCAGGCCGACGGAACCGUAGACUGGGUUGACGAUGCGGCCGCACGCCUCGUAGAGCAGGGAGCGGAAGACCGCCGGGCGGAGGUGGUCGGCGGGCGCGGCGGCGAGCAGGUUGAGCAGCCCGGCCCGGCCGUAGAACUUGGCGAGGAAGACGGUGGCGUUGGCCUGCGCCUCGGGGGUCUUGAUCCACUGCAGGCAGGGGCGGAUGGUGCAGGCGUCGCUGCAGCCCUUGCGCAGGAC
rnacentral:lncRNA from 1 species